UGCCCAUAUAACACUUGGAAACAGGUGCUAAUACCGUAUAACACUAUUUUCCGCAUGGAAGAAAGUUGAAAGGCGCUUUUGCGUCACUGAUGGAUGGACCCGCGGUGCAUUAGCUAGUUGGUGAGGUAACGGCUCACCAAGGCCACGAUGCAUAGCCGACCUGAGAGGGUGAUCGGCCACACUGGGACUGAGACACGGCCCAGACUCCUACGGGAGGCAGCAGUAGGGAAUCUUCGGCAAUGGACGAAAGUCUGACCGAGCAACGCCGCGUGAGUGAAGAAGGUUUUCGGAUCGUAAAACUCUGUUGUUAGAGAAGAACAAGGAUGAGAGUAGAACGUUCAUCCCUUGACGGUAUCUAACCAGAAAGCCACGGCUAACUACGUGCCAGCAGCCGCGGUAAUACGUAGGUGGCAAGCGUUGUCCGGAUUUAUUGGGCGUAAAGCGAGCGCAGGCGGUUUCUUAAGUCUGAUGUGAAAGCCCCCGGCUCAACCGGGGAGGGUCAUUGGAAACUGGGAGACUUGAGUGCAGAAGAGGAGAGUGGAAUUCCAUGUGUAGCGGUGAAAUGCGUAGAUAUAUGGAGGAACACCAGUGGCGAAGGCGGCUCUCUGGUCUGUAACUGACGCUGAGGCUCGAAAGCGUGGGGAGCGAACAGGAUUAGAUACCCUGGUAGUCCACGCCGUAAACGAUGAGUAAUAAGUG
rnacentral:rRNA from 1 species